AUCUCUUCUUGGCCUUUUGGCUAAGAUCAAGUGUAGUAUCUGUUCUUAUCAGUUUAAUAUCUGAUAUGCCCUCUCCAAGGAAAAUAUAUUAAAUGGAUUUUUGGAAUUAGGAGUUGGAAUAAGAGCUUGCUCCGUUCAUUCCACGCAUCAACCUGGUACGGCAGUACUUCCAGGAAUGGUGCAUCUUCU
rnacentral:snRNA from 1 species